CUUAACCUGAAAUGCGCGAUAAACCUUGUUAGUUUUGAACCUACAUUUACUUUAAACGGGAUUCCUAUAUCGCCGGAUGGCUGUCAGGCCUCCACUCGCUUGCGAGGUUCGCAGGGGAAGGCAAAAGUUCGGUUGCGGUCACCCACCUAGCAUUGCUAGGAGUCAAAAAACAAGGGGCGGCAUUUUGGGUAUUCA
rnacentral:other from 1 species